UACGGGGGGGGGUAAGCGUUGUUCGGAAUUACUGGGCGUAAAGGGCUCGUAGGCGGCCAACUAAGUCAGACGUGAAAUCCCUCAGCUUAACUGGGGAACUGCGUCUGAUACUGGAUGGCUUGGAUCCGGGAGAGGGAUGCGGAAUUCCAGGUGUAGCGGUGAAAUGCGUAGAUAUCUGGAGGAACACCGGUGGCGAAGGCGGCUUCCUGGCCGAGUACUGACGCUGAGGCACGAAAGCGUGGGGAGCGAACGGG
rnacentral:rRNA from 1 species